CGGUGGAGGAUGGGCCCGCGGCCUAUCAGCUUGUUGGUGGGGUGAUGGCCUACCAAGGCGGUGACGGGUAGCCGGCCUGAGAGGGCGACCGGCCACACUGGGACUGAGACACGGCCCAGACUCCUGCGGGAGGCAGCAGUGGGGAAUAUUGCACAAUGGGCGAAAGCCUGAUGCAGCGACGCCGCGUGAGGGAUGACGGCCUUCGGGUUGUAAACCUCUUUCAGCAGGGACCAAGCGUGAGUGAGUGUACCUGCAGAAGAAGCACCGGCUAACUACGUGCCAGCAGCCGCGGUAAUACGUAGGGUGCGAGCGUUGUCCGGAUUUAUUGGGCGUAAAGGGCUCGUAGGCGGCCUGUCGCGUCGGGAGUGAAAGCCCACUGCUUAACGGUGGGUCUGCUUUCGGUACGGGCGGGCUAGAGUAUGGCAGGGGAGACUGGAAUUCCUGGUGUAGCGGUGGAAUGCGCAGAUAUCAGGAGGAACACCGGUGGCGAAGGCGGGUCU
rnacentral:rRNA from 1 species